CGUCCUUCUUGUGUGCUUUGUAACGGAGAGGGCGGUGCGGCGGCAGGAGGAACAGCGAUGCGCUUGGGCAGCUUAUAAGUUGUUUUUGCCUGUUCAGCAUUGGCGGGGAAGAGCUAUGGGCAUAACAUGGGUGGAGACAGCUGUGUGGGAAGAAAAUUGAGUGACUGCUGAACGUCUGUGGCCAAGUUGGACAUAGAUUGUCUCAUAAGUCAAAAUCUCUAACAACAUAAGAGCCUACACCUCCCAAAACAGAGUUCACAGGUGUUUAUGCUUCCCCCACGACUGAGCUUCCAUCUCAGCUGUGAAGGGAUGCUAGGCCCCAUGCAGUCAAGCUCCAGAUGUGGCUGGAGAGGAGCAUCGCUCAGUCCCUGCAGCUUGGCAUUGCUCUCCUCCCUUUGUUCAUAGGAGCCUGCUUCAGACAAAGCACCUGGACUGUGUUAGAUGGGAGGGAAGAAUCGGUUCCAGAAGGAAGAAUCUCCCCUGAUCAUGCCUCUUCCCAGCAUCUAGACAUUUAAACUCAGAUACCCGCAACCAAGAACUUGAUUUUGACAGUUAAGCAAAAAGAGUGAUGGACUUUCUCAGCACCUACCUCCUACGUACCGCACCUUCAUUUGCACUCCUUGGCAGCUCCUGUGCAGCAGCAUGCAGAUCCCUGUUGGCCUGGCACAGCAGAUGGGAUGCCUUGGAUUAUGCUUGAAACUAAAAGGCAAGUUUGGUGACAUUUUGCUGCGUAUUUUCAUGUGCUAGUAGCAGGAACAUGUGAGACUGAGGUACAGCAUCACUCCUACUCCCAUCACUCCUACUCCCAUGACAAGCCUUUUCUGAACAGUUCAGCCAGUUUUGCAACUGCAGCAGUCAUUUUUCCCUGAUGCCUACAGACAGGGUCUGGAAUAAUACUGUCAACCCCCCCUUUCAGAUCUUAUGGGUAAAGGAGGAUCUGCAACUGUGAAAGGCUAGUACCAUAAUACCUUCUAAUGCCAUAGUAUCAUAUAAUGCUAGUUCCUCAGCAUUUGAUUUAACAUCCUAGUACUACAAAGUUUCUAUGGACUUUCAGGGCAGUUUUGAGUAAUGUCAUUAAAAUUGUCACAGGAGGUAGUGUCUUUCAAUAUUUCAUUCUUUUAUGCUUAGUUUUUAAUUAUUCCUUGUUUAAUUAGCUCUGAAAACAAGUGCUCUUUCCCAGCAAAGAAGAACGUGACU